AAAGCUUCUUAUCUGCUGAUGUAAAGAAAGAAGGACUGGUAUGACCCCUGGGGUGCCUUCUGUGGGGGCCUGGUGUCCUCCUGUGCUCUUUGUACAAAUAAACCUGAGGCAGGAAAAAAAAAAUAAAGGUCAAAA